AUCCGGUGCUUGCCCGGGGAUUAGUGGCGAACGGGUGAGUAACACGUGAGUAACCUGCCCUUAACUCUGGGAUAAGCCUGGGAAACUGGGUCUAAUACCGGAUAUGACUCCUCAUCGCAUGGUGGGGGGUGGAAAGCUUUAUUGUGGUUUUGGAUGGACUCGCGGCCUAUCAGCUUGUUGGUGAGGUAAUGGCUUACCAAGGCGACGACGGGUAGCCGGCCUGAGAGGGUGACCGGCCACACUGGGACUGAGACACGGCCCAGACUCCUACGGGAGGCAGCAGUGGGGAAUAUUGCACAAUGGGCGCAAGCCUGAUGCAGCGACGCCGCGUGAGGGAUGACGGCCUUCGGGUUGUAAACCUCUUUCAGUAGGGAAGAAGCGAAAGUGACGGUACCUGCAGAAGAAGCGCCGGCUAACUACGUGCCAGCAGCCGCGGUAAUACGUAGGGCGCAAGCGUUAUCCGGAAUUAUUGGGCGUAAAGAGCUCGUAGGCGGUUUGUCGCGUCUGCCGUGAAAGUCCGGGGCUCAACUCCGGAUCUGCGGUGGGUACGGGCAGACUAGAGUGAUGUAGGGGAGACUGGAAUUCCUGGUGUAGCGGUGAAAUGCGCAGAUAUCAGGAGGAACACCGAUGGCGAAGGCAGGUCUCUGGGCAUUAACUGACGCUGAGGAGCGAAAGCAUGGGGAGCGAACAGGAUUAGAUACCCUGGUAGUCCAUGCCGUAAACGUUGGGCACUAGGUGUGGGGGAC
rnacentral:rRNA from 1 species